GCAAUAUGUCUCUCAAUCGAAUUCUUGGCCACAAUAUGUCGCGAAUUCAAAACAUCUAAACAGCUACGCACGAAAUUCGCCUUAAGGAGUAUCGUAAUCGUCCGU
rnacentral:lncRNA from 1 species